rnacentral:tRNA from 1 species
UGCCCCUUGGCUGAGUUGGUUACAGCGUCCGACUGUUAAUCGGAAGGUCGUGAGUUCGAGCCUCACAGGGGCAG